rnacentral:rRNA from 1 species
CUGCGGUACACUGACCGCACUAAGGUAGCAUAAUAAUUUGCCUUUUAAUUGGAGGCUAGUAUGAAUGGUUUGACGUGAAAUAUACUGUCUCAACUAUAUUUAGUAGAAUUUAACCUUUAGGUGAAGAGGCCUAAAUUUUGUGGGAAGACAAGAAGACCCUAUUGAGCUUUAAAUAUUUGUGUUAGUGGGAACCUAAGAUUUAUAUGAUGGUCAUUACCUCUAAGUAUGUUGGUUGGGGCGACCGAGGAGUGUAAAAUAACCUCCUUGUAAUGUAAAGAAUUUGUUAUCAACGAACCUGUAAUAUAGGUUAUUCGGUAGUUACCAUAGGGAUAACAGCGUAAUUCUUUUGAAGAGUUCAUAUCGAAGAAAGAGAUUGCGACCUCGAUGUUGGAUUAAGGUGUCCUAAGGGUGAAGAAGCUC